rnacentral:sRNA from 1 species
GCCAGGUGUGGUGGUGCACACUUGUAAUCCCAGCAAUUCAGAAGGCUGAGGCAGGAGGAUUACAAGUUUGAGGGCAGCCUCAGCAACUUAGUGAGAUCUUAAGCAACUAAGUAAGACCCUAUCUCAA